rnacentral:rRNA from 1 species
CACGGAGUUAGCCGAUCCUUAUUCCUACAGUACAUUCAGCUCAAUACACGUAUCGAGGUUUAUUCCUGUAUAAAAGCAGUUUACAACCCAUAGGGCAGUCACCCUGCACGCGGCAUGGCUGGUUCAGACUUCCGUCCAUUGACCAAUAUUCCUUACUGCUGCCUCCCGUAGGAGUCUGGUCCGUGUCUCAGUACCAGUGUGGGGGAUUCUCCUCUCAGAGCCCCUAGACAUCGUCGCCUUGGUAAGCCGUUACCUUACCAACUAGCUAAUGUCACGCGAGCCCAUCCAUAUCCUAUAAAUAUUUAAAUAAUAAUUGAUGCCAAUCAUUAUUAUUAUGCGGUGUUAAUCCGAAUUUCUUCGGGCUAUCCCCCUGAUAUGGGUAGUUGCUCACGCGUUACGCACCCGUGCGCCACUCUCACCAUCUUCGAGCAAGCUCUCCAAUGGAUCCCGUCCGACUUGCAUGUAUUAGGCCUGCCGCUAGCGUUCAUCC